AGAGCGAACGCUGGCGGCAGGCCUAACACAUGCAAGUCGAACGGAUCCUUCGGGAUUAGUGGCGGACGGGUGAGUAACACGUGGGAACGUGCCUUUUGGUUCGGAACAACUCAGGGAAACUUGAGCUAAUACCGAAUGUGCCCUUCGGGGGAAAGAUUUAUCGCCAUUAGAGCGGCCCGCGUCUGAUUAGCUAGUUGGUAGGGUAAAGGCCUACCAAGGCUACGAUCAGUAGCUGGUCUGAGAGGAUGAUCAGCCACAUUGGGACUGAGACACGGCCCAAACUCCUACGGGAGGCAGCAGUGGGGAAUCUUGCGCAAUGGGCGAAAGCCUGACGCAGCCAUGCCGCGUGAAUGAUGAAGGUCUUAGGAUUGUAAAAUUCUUUCACCGGGAAGAUAAUGACUGUACCCGGAGAAGAAGCUCCGGCUAACUUCGUGCCAGCAGCCGC
rnacentral:rRNA from 1 species